UGAGGAAUAUUGGACAAUGGGCGCAAGCCUGAUCCAGCCAUGCCGCGUGCAGGAAGAAGCAUCUAUGGUGUGUAAACUGCUUUUGUACGGGAAGAAACACUCCUACGUGUAGGAGCUUGACGGUACCGUAAGAAUAAGGAUCUGCUAACUCCGUGCCAGCAGCCGCGGUAAUACGGAGGAUCCAAGCGUUAUCCGGAAUCAUUGGGUUUAAAGGGUCCGUAGGCGGUUUAAUAAGUCAGUGGUGAAAGCCCAUCGCUCAACGAUGGAACGGCCAUUGAUACUGCUAGACUUGAAUUAUUAGUGAGUAACUAGAAUAUGUAGUGUAGCGGUGAAAUGCUUAGAUAUUACAUGGAAUACCAAUUGCGAAGGCAGGUUACUACUUGUGGAUUGACGCUGAUGGACGAAAGCGUGGGGAGCGAACA
rnacentral:rRNA from 1 species